CCCUGAAGGCAAGAGAAAAGAAUAAUAAAAGGGGGAAAUGGCCUGCUGAGCAAAGACUCUGAGUCCUUUAUAACAGGAGGUCGUUUUUGAUUAUAGGAAGGAACCUUCAGUGGCCAUGGAAACCAAAAUGCCACACAAAAGCCAGAGGGUGCUUGGGAGGUAAACAAGAUAGAUGAAAGGUGAUGGUGCUUUUAAUCUCCACAAUCAAUGUGUUUAGACACCUAGCAGGAUGAAACAACUGGAAACAAUGGCAUUCAGUAAGGAAACCUUUUCCAUCAAGAAGCCUUGGAGCAGUUAUGUGAAAACUGGUUUUGAUUUGGUGAUGGGAAAAACCUAAUCAGUCUGGGUUCAUCAUGCUAAAGGGAAUUUGCUGAAAAUUCAUCACAUGUGGUCAGUGCAGAUUG